GGUCGAUCUCUUUGGUUCAUCAAACUCGGCCAGGGCCAUCAGGGACACCCAGAUGGACAGAGCUGUCCCGUAGAUGCUGAAGUACUCCAGGAUGUCAUAGCGCAUGAAACAUAGCACCGAUAAGCCAGGGCCAUCGCAUGCAUGGUAAAUCGCCAUGAAGAACAUGGUGAAGAAGUAGACCAUGGCUUCCAUGUGGAAGCGCCGCUUGGCCGCGAUGCUGA
rnacentral:lncRNA from 1 species